AAGCAGCUCGCCAGCAUUUUGACUGACAUCCCAAACUCUAUGAGCUGCCACCCUGCAUCCAAAGACUCUCCAACCUUGCCCGACUUCUCAGCCACAGAUAUGGGUUUCUACAGAGGACAGACGGGCAAGGUUGGAGAGUCUUUGGAUGCAGGGUGGCAGCUCAUAGAGUUUGGGAUGUCAGUCAAAAUGCUGGCGAGCUGCUUUUCAAAAGCUGGUCCACUCAUUAUUGGUCGCACAGCAUCUCCUCCUUCCUGAAAGCAGACGGUCCGAGUGUGCAGUAGAUAGAGAAGGGGAAAGAGCAGUAAAGCAGGACCAAAUCCUUCAAAAAACUUCUCUGGUGAAAUUCUCUGUGCAGAACUGCAUGCACUGGGGCAGCACCCAGCCGAGUAAAACUCUUCGUUAUCGAACACUGGGUGGAUUCUCUCUUCCUUUCGGCCCAGAAGAAGCCCCCCCCCCCCCCCGGUAAAACAGCUCUGUGUCUCCUCCCCUGCUUCAAGCACACAGCACACACAGCAGCACACACACACCAUCUUGCUGGUGCAAUAAUUUACUGGAAUUAUUGCCUUUCUAUCUAAGGUAAAUUCGUGUUCACCCGUAAGAUGCACAUUUGGUUUGCGUUGAGCAUACAACUGUAAUUGAGCAUAACGCUUUUUGGAAAAGGAGCCAAAGUAUCAUUCUGCCGACACAUUAUUUAUAUUAGUGGGAUGACCUUUUCAGUGUGAGUCACCCUGCUACCAUGGCCUUCCUAUGUUGAGUUCAUUGUCUGUGACUUGAUAUGUCUCCGGAACCUAUUCCCUCGGUCUAAGAGCUCGGAACAGAGUUCCGGUGGUGUUGUUGAACUCUGUUUUCUCUGAGCAUAUUCGGUGGAACCUGAUGAGCUGGGACUUGAUCAAUCCUUGGAAGGUGCGUUUGGGCUGGAAGCUGGAUUUGUGCGGUAGACAGUGUGUGUCAGUGCUUUUAAAGUAAACCUUGGUCUCGAGUGUUUUUAAAGCCACCUUGAGGUUUACUGUAAUGGACUGUGGUGUCCAGGAAGUUUACUUCCUGUGUGUCUCAGUGUUGUUUUAUUGUUAUUUUGGAGUGGUGUGUAUGUGUUCAUGAGUGUGGUGAAUGUGUCAAAAUCCUCGUGGCCAUGGUGCCAGACCCUGAAAAUGUCACCCAGGUAUCUGUAGCACUGGAGUGGUCUGUUUGGGCAUUUCAUAAAUAGAGUUUCCUCCCAGUCUGCCAUGUAGAUGUUAGCAUAGGCCAGGGCAAGUUU
rnacentral:lncRNA from 1 species